CCAAUAGCGUAUAUUAAAGUUGUUGCAGUUAAAAAGCUCGUAGUUGAAUUUCGGGAUCAGUACGCUGGUCGUGCCUUCGGUAUGAACUGGUGUCACUGGUUCCUCCCUUCUGAAGAACCGUCAUGCCAUUCAGUUGGUGUGGCGGGGAAUCAGGACUGUUACUUUGAAAAAAUUAGAGUGUUUAAAGCAGGCUCGCGCUUGAAUACAUUAGCAUGGAAUA
rnacentral:rRNA from 1 species